UGGUUGUGAGUCCAACCUUAACCAGAUGGUGGUCCAUCCAUGACAAUGGGGAAAUCACAGGAUUCCCCACCCAUGGAACACCACCCUCAUCAGAGUGAAAGACCAAAUCAAGCGUGUGACCAGCAAUGUGCAUUGGUCCUGAGACCACUUGGGAUAGGCCCAUAGUUGUCAUGGCCACUAUGAACACCUGAGCUGCCCCAGACAAAUUGGUCCCAACAUGAACAUUAAAGUCCCCCUGUACCACAAGCCUGGGGGACUCCAACACCAAGCCUGAGGCCAGGUCUGUCAGCUCAGUUAGGGACUCUGUUGAGCAGCGGGGUGAUCGGUACACCAACAGAAGUCCCAUUCUGUCCCUGGUCCCCAAACUAAGUACACACAUUUGAUAUGGUUUGACACUCUGGUAAGGGAUCCUGGUAAGGGAGAUAUUUUUCUUUUAGACCACAGCCACUCCACAUCCCCACCCACGGUCCCUCACCCUCUCCUCAACAGAGUACCCUAGAAGUACCCCAGAGUACACUGGGCCCCCAGCCUCCCACAGCCAGAUCUCUGUAAUAAUACCACAUCAGUACCUUCAUCCAGAAUCAAAUCAUGGAUGGUUUCUGGUUUGUUCUGGACUGACCUGGCAUUACAAAGGAGCAAAGGUUACAAGGGUAGUCAGCACUGCUCCCCAAGGUCAAAGCACUGGCAGGACAGCUUAAAGGGGAAACAACUAUUAGGUUUCAAAGUCCCCUUCCCCUGUAAUGGCCCGCUGACCUGCCAAUGUUACUUCUUCUGUUCAGCACCACCACCGGAAUUGCCAUCCCAUGAUCAGUGGAUACUCCCCCUGUCUCCCCAUCUCCAGAUAAGCCCAGACACAUUUAUUACCAGAAUUAAAACAAGAUCACCCAGGACAAAUUAAAACCACAACAUUAAAUACCCACUCACAUGUGAAUUCUUGGGCCAGGAAACCUGUCCCCCAAAGUGGCUCUCCCAAAGGGGCCACUCCACCAUUGGCAAGCCCGCUGCCACAAGCAGCAUCCCUUUAUAGGCCCAGAGAUGACCACCCUGGUUAGAUGGCAAGUAGGGACUACAGAGUCACUCCUGGGCCCCAAAACUGAAGAGAAGCCACAGCCAGAGGCCACAGUCCCACAGGUCAAGCAGGGGGCUGGCAGAUGUCUCACCCUCUCCCUCUCCUGCAGGGAGGCACACAACAGCAGAAGCAACAGCCAUAACUAACACCUGUCUUGCACCCUCCCUGGGGGCUGUCUGGGAAGCAGGUGGUCUCUCCCUCUGCUGCAGGGCUUCUUACGUUCAAGUGAAAUGCUAGCACAUCGUUCUUUUUAAGUAUACAACAAAAUUCAUCUCAUGUUUUGAGGACUAGAAUAAUUUGAUUUUCAAGAGUAUGUUUUGCUUCCUUUUUCCUGUACAUGUUUUUUUUAAAAUUAUUUCUUGAUUUUUUCCUAUUUCUUUUUUUCCUAUUCUGCUCAUGUGGAAGAGGAAUGCUGCAAGUCCAUCAAACAGUAGAGGAGGGAAAAAAGGCCUUGAAGAAUAUAUAAAGGACAGUGAAGAAGAUGCACUUCAAAUGAUGAAUAAUGAGAAACUAUAAACCAAUGAAACAAAGCAGGACUACAAGAAAGAACAAGUCAAGAACCAAGGAGAAAAAUGGAAAAAUAAGCCACUGCAUGGUCAUAUUUGCACAAUAUCGCAGACUGACUACAAACAAAGGCAUGACAAGAUUGUGUGCCUUUCUCACAGGAAGGAAAGAAGGAAGGAAGAAGGAAGGAAGGAAAUGCUUUGGCUGAUCUGAAUUCUUCAAACACCAGCAGGCUUAAGCUUAAAAUGUAUAAAACGUGUGUAGAAGGUGGAAUUUACAGGAGCUUGCUACAGCAGAGUUUGUCUUUCCAUUGAUCUCAGUGGGAAUUGAGAUGGUCCUUAGAGAGGAAGUGCUGAAACAGCCUUAACUGCUCUACUGCUAUAACGGUGAAAGCUGAACAUAAAUUCUUCUACAGAAAUAUAGAAUGUCCUCCUGUCAAUACACAUAUUGUAAAAUGUCUAUAAAAAGGUCAGCUGUUUCUUUAUUACUGACAUAUGGUUUGGAUUAAGGUAAAGGCUAGCACCUUCCACCCUGCCCCCAUGGUUUGCAACAACCUUCCAAAGACCUUUCACAGCAGACAUUGCAGUUUAAAAAUAGAUAAAUGCAGUUUUCCCCCCUGUUUGAGGAAUAUUAUAAAACUGAUUUGAAGACCACAUUUUAAAAGGUUAUUAUGGCAUAUAUCUUUAAGCCAAUUCUGGCCUUUCUAACUUUUCUAACUUUUCUGGAAGCAGUAUAAAGAAAAACUAUGUACGUUAUGGCUUAAUACUAUAAAGCGGGAGGAAAUUGGAUGAACAGGGAUCCCAGAGCAGCUAUUUAGCUCAUGUGAUAGACAUACGAAGUUCCUCUAUUUCACCACUGAAGCCAGUUAUAAUUAUAAGGUUUUAACUUUAUUAAUAAUUAUAGGUUUUGACAUUAAUAAUGGAUUGGAUGACUUUACAAGUUGGGAAAGACAUAGCGGCAGACAUCCAGCCUAGCACUUCACUGGUGCAACAGUACUAUGUUCCAAACUAACACUGCACCUUCACAUGAGUGGAUGAAGGGGAAGUUUUCUGCAGUUUCCUCUUCCCUUUGAAAUCCACUGUACAUCACGAAAAUAUGUCCUUGAGGGUCACAUGUCACUUAGGGAGAUAUUUUCAGGAGGCACAGUGGGCUUCAAUGGAAGGGGAUAUAGUUGAGAAUUGUCCUUUUUCCUGCUUGCACGAUGGCACAGGGUCAAUCUGGAACUCAGCACUGUUUCACCAGUGCAGUGGUCAUCAAGAUGUCAGAUGCCGUAUAUAGAAUUCAGGAUUAUGAGGAUUUUGUUUCUUGUGAAGGAAAUACGAUGGGUGAUACAAGGCUAGAUACCCCUGUAGUACAAAUAUUUGCAGUUGAAAUAUUUUGUUCAGAUUUUGACUAAUCAUCUUUUAGGCUGCAUCAGUUGAUAUGUUGGGAAGGCUAGAUAAUUGUUGGGACUUUAAUUAAAUGAGUGGCUUUCUCUAUACUUUAGACACUGAUCCAAGGAAUAGAGAUUAGAAAGGAUUUUUCAUAAAAUGGCCUGGGACACAGAUUUGGGGACUUUUGGUUUAAACGAAUCGAAUACAAAUGCAACAAAUUUUUAUACACCAUUUUUUCAACAAAAGCUUCCAUAACACCCUACAGUUUGUUACACCCUAAAUAGGCUCAUUACAAGAUCAUAUACUACUACUAUAUGACCCCUGCAGAAUUAAUAGAAUCUGUCAUUCUAGAGUCAGCUUGAGUGGCGUAGCGGGGAAAGUAGCCAGUUCAAAUCCCCGCUGCUACUAUAUCGAGCAGCAGCAAUAUAGGAAGAUGCUGAAAGGCAUCAUUUCAUACUGUGCGGGAGGAGGCAAUGGUAAACCCCUCCUGAAUUCUAUCAAAGAAAUCACAGGGCUCUGUGGGCACCAGGUGUCAAAACUGACUUGAUGGCACACUUUACUUUACCUUUAUCAUACUAGAAGGUUCAAGUGUUGGGAAGAGCACAUUAAACCACAGAUAUUUUGUUCAUCUUUGGUGAAGUUUUGACCCCAUGGUACUGGACACAGGUUGGGAUCAUUGCACAGAUUACAAUCAUCUUUUUAGUAUGGACCUAUCCAUUGUGCUGAAUAAUUCAAACAAGAGAUACAAACUUCUGUAAAAUUUCUGAUAUUUAUUGAUUGCAUUAAUAAAAUGCAAUCAAAUAUUAAUCUGGUGAGACCUUGGAAAAGAGCCCAGGUGCCUGAAACCAAAGAGUGGUAGAUUAAAUAUUGAGAAAUUGCUGAGAUGGAUAAAUUGAUGAAUACAUUUCUCCAUUUCUCCACAGGACUGUUUCUGGCAGAUAGGUGACUACUAUUUAUAAAUGACUGGAACUUGUACUGUAAUUCUGUCACUCUGAGUUGAACUUUGUUUACAAAACUAUUUGUUGUAUUUUCUUAAAAAUAAAAGAAGGAAAUAAAAUUUA